rnacentral:rRNA from 1 species
UACGAAGGGGGCUAGCGUUGUUCGGAAUUACUGGGCGUAAAGCGCACGCAGGCGGAUCGACAAGUUGGGGGUGAAAUCCCGGGGCUCAACCUCGGAACUGCCUUCAAAACUAUCGAUCUAGAGGUCAGGAGAGGCGAGCGGAAUUCCGAGUGUAGAGGUGAAAUUCGUAGAGAUUCGGAGGAACACCAGUGGCGAAGGCGGCUCGCUGGACUGAUACUGACGAUCAGGUGCGAAAGAGUGGGGAGCAAACAGG